CGCACAACGAAAUACCGCGAGAUAAGUGAUACCGCGAGUCAAGUGAUGUGGAGUAUAAGUUUACAAAAUUCACACGCAAUAAUUCCACAUGUCAUCGCAAUAUAAACAAUCUGGAAGGAUUUACCUACGACGAAAGUGGUUAAAAGUAGAAGAAAACCGCUGGGAGCAGUAUGGUCCAUGGUCAGACGCUCUGUGACCCGCAGUAAACAUGAGGAGCAAAGCGAAAAGAUUUCAUCUCAAAGGUAGCGUUUUCAUCACUUGCUAACGUUAUGUACAUGUUCCCUGCACGCAU